GACGAACGCUGGCGGCGUGCUUAACACAUGCAAGUCGAACGGAAAGGCCCUGCUUUUGUGGGGUGCUCGAGUGGCGAACGGGUGAGUAACACGUGAGUAACCUGCCCUUGACUUUGGUAUAACUUCAGGAAACUGGGGCUAAUACCGGAUAGGAGCUCCUGCUGCAUGGUGGGGGUUGGAAAGUUUCGGCGGGUGGGGAUGGACUCGCGGCUUAUCAGCUUGUUGGUGGGGGAGUGGCUUACCAAGGCUUUGACGGGUAGCCGGCCUGGGAGGGUGACCGGCCACAUUGGGACUGAGAUACGGCCCAGACUCCUACGGGAGGCAGCAGUGGGGAAUAUUGCACAAUGGGCGGAAGCCUGAUGCAGCAACCCCGCGUGCGGGAUGACGGCCUUCGGGUUGUAAACCGCUUUCGCCUGUGACGAAGCGUGAGUGACGGUAAUGGGUAAAGAAGCACCGGCUAACUACGUG
rnacentral:rRNA from 1 species